AAAAAGACAAAUUCUAGGUUUAUCUCUAAUGUUUGACUGUCCGUCUUAUAUAAAUUUUUUUUAUAAUUAGUAUUUUUAUUGUUGUUAGAUGAUAAAACAUGAUUAAUACUUUAUGUGUGACUUGUCUUUUUAUUUUUUCAAAUAAGACGGACGGUCAAACGUUGGACACGGAAACCCAGAGUUUGUCUUUUU
rfam:Oryza nivara chromosome 5, whole genome shotgun sequence.